rnacentral:rRNA from 1 species
GACGAACGCUGGCGGCGUGCUUAACACAUGCAAGUCGAACGGAAAGGCCCUGCUUUUGUGGGGUGCUCGAGUGGCGAACGGGUGAGUAGCACGUGAGUAACCUGCCCUUGACUUUGGGAUAACUUCAGGAAACUGGGGCUAAUACCGGGUAGGAGCUCCUGCUGCAUGGUGGGGGUUGGAAAGUUUCGGCGGUUGGGGCUGGACUCGCGGGUUAUCAGCUUGUUGGGCGGGUUGUGGCUUACCAAGGGUUUGACGGGUAGCCGGCCUGAGAGGGUGACCGGCCACAUUGGGACUGAGAUACGGCCCAGACUCCUACGGGAGGCAGCAGUGGGGAAUAUUGCACAAUGGGCGGAAGCCUGAUGCAGCAACGCCGCGUGCGGGAUGACGGCCUUCGGGUUGUAAACCGCUUUCGCCGGUGACGAAGCGUGAGUGACGGUAAUGGGUAAAGAAGCACCGGCUAACUACGUG